UGGAUAUGGACAGACUGUUGGACCCAGUUCUUUGUUUACAUUUAUAUUAGUUUUGGGUAGAAUGUGGGUUACAAAAGAACCUAAUUAAUUUGGUAUAAACUAUUAACGAGGAAAUCUCUAUUCAUUUUAAAUUUUCCAUAUAUUUUUUUAAUGAUUUAUGGAUUAUCCAUUGAACAUGUAAGCAUUUACAUUUUCAGGGGGAUUUCCUCCCAUUUCUUGGCUUAUUCCUUCGUCUUCUUCUGGAGCAUAGAGAUUAAAUGAUGAUCAACCAAAUAUUUUUCAUUAAGAUCAAUUGGAUAUGAAAAUAAAUAAAAUCCUUAAAGUGAUUAUUGUCCAAAUCAAAUAUCAGGCAAUAAACACUUCCCGAAGCUGAACCCAAGGCGGGUCAGUCUAAGGUGCACAAAAAAUGCAGCUAAGAAGAAAAUGAUUAGAGGAAAGUACAAAAACAAAAAAUAAUCAUUGAAGUGGUGUAGUAGUCACAAGCAAGAGAAGAUUACUACAGUAAACGAUCAGGAAAAACAAAUGUAGAUUACCACUUCCUCCCUUGCGCCAAUUUUGGUAGAUUAUAUAAACGUAUAGAUCACAUUCUCAUUUUUGACUGUAUACACAACUUCAGAACUUAUGCUACACUUUUCUUAAAUUGUAUAUAUUGCAACAUUUGUACCUCAUCUGGAACAGUUUGUUUAAUAAAGAUUUGCUAUUGCUAAGUGAUUGAAAACCGUGGUCAACAAUUGGGCUCGAUACUAAUAUGGAAAAUCAUAUUCUGAUGUGCCGGAAAUUUAGACAUGUCAUGCUAGGUGGAGAUAAACCCAAUCCGAUUCACGAUCAACCACGAAAAAGAACAUUAUAAUGCAAGUGGUAGAAUGAAUUUAUGUUAGGAUGUGAAUACAAAUUGAUUUGAUAUUGCGCACCGGGAAGGCCACAGACUUUUUUGUCUACAAUCCGACGAUUUUCUUUGAUGCUGUACGACUAUGAUAUGUAUGGAAGAAUGCUGCAUUACCUGUAUAAACACAAGUGGCAGUUCAUGAUCAACCACGAAAAAGAAUAUUAUGAUGCAAGUAGAUAGUGUGUGUUCGAGGAGCAUUUAUGGAAGGAUAUGAAUACAAAUUGACUUGAUAGUGUGUGGUCGAGGCAUGGUAGAUACAGACUUUUCUGUCCACAUUCCGACGAAUUGUCUUUGAUGCUAUGCUGGACGAUUACGAUGUAUGGAAGAAUGGUUUAUUACUUAGACAAACAAAAUUCAAAUUCAUGAUCAACCAAGAAAAGGAAGUUGCAGGAUGUGAAUACAAAUUGACUUGAUAGUGCGUUCGGGUCUACCUUCGACAAAUUGUC